rnacentral:rRNA from 1 species
GACGAACGCUGGCGGCGUGCUUAACACAUGCAAGUCGAACGGAAAGGCCCUGCUUUUGUGGGGUGCUCGAGUGGCGAACGGGUGAGUAACACGUGAGUAACCUGCCCUUGACUUUGGGAUAACUUCAGGAAACUGGGGCUAAUACCGGAUAGGAGCUCCUGCUGCAUGGUGGGGGUUGGAAAGUUUCGGCGGUUGGGGAUGGACUCGCGGCUUAUCAGCUUGUUGGUGGGGUAGUGGCUUACCAAGGCUUUGACGGGUAGCCGGCCUGAGAGGGUGACCGGCCACAUUGGGACUGAGAUACGGGCCAGACUCCUACGGGGGGGAGGAGUGGGGAAUAUUGCACAAUGGGCGGAAGCCUGAUGCAGCAACGCCGCGUGCGGGAUGACGGCCUUCGGGUUGUAAACCGCUUUCGCCUGUGACGAAGCGUGAGUGACGGUAAUGGGUAAAGAAGCACCGGCUAACUACGUG